GCUGGAGUUACAAAAGUAUAAAGGACAACGCAAAGGACUUUUUAGCCAAAGAAGAACCAGAAAGGAAGAGUCCUAGGGAAUUGGAGACGUCGCGAAGGAAUGUUGUAAGGAGAAUUCAAGCCUAAAACGGUUCUGAGCACUGAUUUCAUCAAGCCGAUGGAGGCAACAACAUAUUCCUUAGGGAAAAUUAAGAUGCACAGUAUGCUUCAAGAUGAUGGCCAAGAACAACCAACUCAACGAGCCUUCAGGAAUUCAUGAUUUGAAUAUCAUGUUCAAGCUACAGACAUCAGCAAACUCGAGAAAAGAAGGUUUGCUCUGGGAGAUUCUACAUGUGAC